rfam:Ictidomys tridecemlineatus contig094808, whole genome shotgun sequence.
UGGGUUGUGGCUCAGUGGUAGAGCACUUAACUAGCAUGUGUGAGGCACUGGGUUCAAUUCUCAGCACCAUAU